UCCUCCUCGCUCCACUUCCUACACACAACCCUUUCGCCUGAUAUUCUCACAAGUUGAAGGCCAAUGUAGCAACCAGUAAGAGGCUGGAGGAGGAGUGGGAUCCGCAUGGAAGCUAUGGAGUGAAAGAAAGCGCUUAGAUGGUUGGCGCUGGGGGAAAAAAAGCUAGACUUUUCUCUUUAAAAAAAAAAAGAAUCCAGACCACAUGGUUGCCAUGAACCUUGGAUCCAGUAAAACAGCUAUUGCCACUCAGUCACACACAUCUCACACCAACUAUAGGGCUUUCUUUCUGCACCUUUUCGGAUCCUUGCUGACUGCCCAGCCAUUCCUUGCUUCCUUUGGAAUUAGGCCUCCAUUACACUGAAAAGCAGAAAUGUGUCAGCCAAGAUGGAAUUGAGAACAUCUUUUCCAGUCCUGCUGCAGCAAAAGUGCUGUCCUCCACAAACUUCAACAAAGAUAGGCACCAGAGCAUCUUUGACAGUAAAGUGCCCUCUUGUCCAUCCCAUGCUAUUCCUCCAACCUCAAGAGCACAUUUUCAGAGACUGUGGUGGAGAGAAGAGAACAGGAAAGCCCCACUGCACAAGCAGAACUCCAGUCAUGUUUAUUUGGAUCCUACCAUUGAUGCAUCAGAACUCAGCUGUACCAAGCAUAAUUCUAAAUUUGAUGGUCCAUUCUAUUCAGUUCUCAUUAAAAUCUGAAAUGUUUUGUUUUCUAUUUCUUGCUAACUUAACUGAAUCAUUUUUUCAGUUAAAGUACUUUC